GUCGGGAAUUUUGGGCAAUGGGCGAAAGCCUGACCCAGCAACGCCGCGUGAAGGAUGAAGUCUUUCGGGAUGUAAACUUCGUAAGAAUAGGAAGAAUAAAUGACGGUACUAUUUGUAAGGUCCGGCUAACUACGUGCCAGCAGCCGCGGUAAUACGUAGGGACCAAGCGUUGUUCGGAUUUACUGGGCGUAAAGGGCGCGUAGGCGGCGUGACAAGUCAAUUGUGAAAUCUCCGGGCUUAACUCGGAACGGUCAAUUGAUACUGUUGUGCUAGAGUACAGAAGGGGCAAUCGGAAUUCUUGGUGUAGCGGUGAAAUGCGUAGAUAUCAAGAGGAACACCUGAGGUGAAGACGGGUUGCUGGGCUGAUACUGACGCUGAGGCGCGAAAGCUAGGGUAGCAAACGGGAUUAGAAACCCUGGUAGUCC
rnacentral:rRNA from 1 species